UUUUCAUAUGUAAAAAGCCGUUUGUGUAACCGCCUUGGGAAUCUGCCAAGAUAAUGCGUGGCCAUCUUCUGUGAGGUCACCCAAGUCAGUAUUGUUUCAGCUGCCCACUCUGAUAGAAUGGUUUCUAUGACCAUGUAUAGUGCAUGGUGGACAACAUGAGGGCGCUAUAACAAUAAGAGAUGUACACUGUGCAAGAGCGCAGAACAGGGAAGAACGAACACACACUGCAAAUACUAAAGUCAAGGCUGCAUGCCUUGCGAUACCGUCAAGGUGAACCACCCUCACACAGUUGAACGGAGCUUCUGACCUAGACCUACAGUAGCCGCGGCAUCACUGACAAAAGCACUCCAUACAGGCGACGAAGUGACCGUGAAAGUGAAGGAUCAUUUUCAGAAUCACAUACAAAAGGUGUUUCCAACCAUAUUCCAGCCACUUCCGCGGAGCCACUGAAUGAGUAUAGUGCGACAUACAGUGUCAUGUACAGAUGUGGGAAUGUCGUAGGAAACAACGGCACGUACUGAGUCUAAUGACUCGAGAUUUGAACACAUUGGCUGAUACAGUUGUAUCGACAGUGGGAAUUCCCGUUGUGGCAGUACUUCGUCGCACUUUGGUCACGAAAGCUGGAUUCAUGAUUUGCUGCCUGUAGUCGCAAUGGGACUUCUACAUGAAUCAAGGAGUUGCCUAGAUCUAAAUACGGGUGCACAAACAACCUGAAGAGCUGCUGGCAACAAGUUGAGUAG